CCACAUCACAUUGAAAAAUCGGUUCUCGUACUGUCACUAAAGUUAAACAAUGUCAAGCCUGGUCAGUACUUAGAUGGGUGACCACUUGGGAAUACCAGGUGCUAUA